AGUGAACGCUGGCGGUAGGCCUAACACAUGCAAGUCGAACGGCAGCACAGUAAGAGCUUGCUCUUACGGGUGGCGAGUGGCGGACGGGUGAGGAAUACAUCGGAAUCUACUUUUUCGUGGGGGAUAACGUAGGGAAACUUACGCUAAUACCGCAUACGACCUACGGGUGAAAGCGGGGGAUCUUCGGACCUUGCGCGAUUGAAUGAGCCGAUGUCGGAUUAGCUAGUUGGCGGGGUAAAGGCCCACCAAGGCGACGAUCCGUAGCUGGUCUGAGAGGAUGAUCAGCCACACUGGAACUGAGACACGGUCCAGACUCCUACGGGAGGCAGCAGUGGGGAAUAUUGGACAAUGGGCGCAAGCCUGAUCCAGCCAUACCGCGUGGGUGAAGAAGGCCUUCGGGUUGUAAAGCCCUUUUGUUGGGAAAGAAAAGCGGCAGGUUAAUACCCCGCUGUUCUGACGGUACCCAAAGAAUAAGCACCGGCUAACUUCGUG
rnacentral:rRNA from 1 species